GGCACUGUGUGGUAUCUGCAGCCAGUUGUUCAUCUUCUGGUUUGUUCAAAAGUAAGUGCUAGACAAACUCAACAUUGGCACUGUUGGUCUCCAUGCUGCCUGUGCCUGGAGUCCUGGUAUAUUUGUUGAAACACACUC
rnacentral:snoRNA from 1 species